ensembl:lncRNA
UUUAGCAUGAAACAGGUGUAAUCAAUAUUUUAUUACCACCAAAUUAUACAAUAAAUCCAUGAUUUUAUUUUCAUCAUCACAAUAUCCACAUGGAGUGAUGCAGGAAAAUAUAUUCCUUUACCGACUCCUCUAUUCAAAAUGGAAUGGCAAAAGUAGUGUAUAGCUUGUUAAGGUAUGAAGGCUGACGGCAUAGGACACCUCAGAAGUUUUGAAAUUCCACACCUUCAUUCCACUAACCUUCAUGAAGUGCCACAGUGGCACAAAAUAACAUUUGUUUUUAGAUGUAUAUACAUUGUAGGCCUACAUUAUUUUGUACAAUGGCAUGUAAUCCAUACAAUGUGACCAUAUUAUAUUAUGUGAGGUAUCAGAAAAAAAGAAAAUGCAUAUCUAUACAUGAUUUCUCAGCUUUACUUAAUACAUUAGUUUACGCAUGAGCUUAUAACUGAAGAUGUUUCCCGUUUGAAAUGCUCUACGUUGUUGUUGUGCUUUAAGAACUACACAGCUGUUUUAGCACCUCUGAGAAAGACCUUACCUGAACCACAAACCAUUAUUAUAUACUAUAUUACAUACAUUUCACAUACUUACAGUACCAGUCAAAGGUUUAGACACACCUAAACAUAAGGGUUUUUCAUUAUUUUUACUAUUUUCUAUAUAGUAGAGUAACACAUAUGGAACAAUUUAGUAACCAAAAAAGUGUUAAACAAAUCAAAAUAUAUUUUAUAUUUGAGAUUCUUCAAAGUAGCCAUCCUUUGCCUUGAUGACAGCUUUGCACACUCUUGACCUUCUCUCAACCAGCUUAAUGAGGUAGUCACCUGGAAUGCAUAACAAUUAACAGGUGUGCCUUGUUAAAGUUAAAGUCAGGUCUUACCAGCGUGCUUUCCCGUCUUCCUUUUUCUGAUGUUCUAUUUCCUAGUUUUCCCGGUUCUGACUAUUCUGCCUGCCCUGACCCGAGUCUGCCUGCCGUCCUGUAACUGCCUGACUUUGACCUAAUUAUGAACCUCUGCCUGCCCUGACCCCGAGCCUGCCUGCCGUCCUGUACCUGCCUGACUCAGACCUGAUCACGAACCCCUGCCUGUCCUCGACCUGCCCUUUGCCUGCCCCAUGUUUACAAUAAAUCAUCUGGGAACUGUACUAUCUGUCUCCUGUGUCUGCAUCUGGGCCAUAUCCUGAGUCGUGAUAGUACGAACUGGACAUGACUGACCCAGCAGACUCAGACCAAUUCCACAAUGCUGUCUCCCAGCAAGGAGCCGCCAUUGGAAGACACGAGGAGUUACUGCAAUGCCUUAUGGAGGGACUCCAUGGCAGAACGCCAUGACUAGACGUGAGCAAUUCUGCAUAUUCCCUACUAGGCAGCAGGCCACACCAGUAAUCCCAGACUCAGCAACCCCUCCAACAACGGCGUUUCUUCCCAGCCUACCCCAGUGACCUGAGAACCCCGCUCACAUCCUCCGGAGCGCUACGCUGGAGAAUCUGGAACCUGCCGUACCUCAUAACCUAGCGUACCUCAUAACGCUGGUGUCCGGGAGGGAGGAGGAGUUUGUGGCGGAAGUACGGAAGGUGUUUGAUUCUCCGUUGUCCGGGAGAGAAGCUGCUCGUAAGUUGCUCCAGCUACGUCAAGACUCCUAUAGUGUGGCAGACUACGCAGUGGAUUUUCGCGCGUUGGUGGUUGAGAGUGCCUGAAAUCCGGAAGCAUUGUUCGACAUGUUCCUUCACGGAUUAUCAGAGGUGAUCAAAGAUGAGCUCACAGCCUGGAAGCUGCCCAUGGACCUUGUCUCCCUCAUAGCCUUGACCAUCUGGAUCAUUGGGCGGCUACGAGAACGUAGGAGGGAGAGGGAAUCUGUGCCCAGUCACUCUUGCUCGCCCUCGAAUCCCGGAGACCCCCGAAGUCUACAUGUCCGAGUGAACCCAAUGUCACCCGAGUUCUCUCGUGAAUCACAGAGGGCUGCCAACUAGCCUCCUUCGGAGCCCAUGCAACUGGGCUGGGCUAAAUUGUCUCCGGCUGAGUGCAUACACAGACUUAACACCCAGAGUUGUCUAUAUUGUGGAGCUACGGGACAUUUCUUAGCUACCUGCCCAUUAAAAACCCACGCUCAUCAAGUAGGUACGAGUACGCUGGUGAGCCGUACGGUGUGUUUCCCAUCCUCCAUUGCUCGUACAUCUCUCCAUGCUACCCUGUUGUGGGGUGACCAGUCCAAAUCUAACUGGGUUUUCAUUGACUCUUGGGGCCGACAAGAGCUUUUUAGACGCUACCCUGGUGUUGGAGCUGGGAAUCCCCACACAACCCCUCUCCAUUCCCAUGGACGUCAGAGCGUUGGAAGGGCACUAUUGGCAGAGUCGCCCACAUUACAUUUCCCAUUAACCAGAGAGUGUCGGAAAAUCACAGUAAAAGUGUGCAGUUCCUGCCCAUUGAAUCCCCUCAUGCACCCGUGGUUUUGGGAUUCUCCUGGCUCCAGAGGCACAAUCCUCUGAUCGACUGGUUCUAUCGUGGUUUGAGCCCGUUUUGCCAUGCACAUUGCCUGAAGUCGGCACUGCCUGCCCCGGGUAGUCUUCCUGUGGCUUGGGAGAAGUCCUGAACCUCUCCAUCAUUCCUGCGGAAUACCAGGACCUCCAGGUGGUUUUCAGCAAGGCCCAUGCCACCUCUCCUCUUCCGCAUCGGCCAUAUGACUGCGCCAUCGACCUUCUACUGGGUACUAUACCUCCUCGCGGGCGACUUUAUUCCCUGUCGGGUCCGGAGACCAACGCAACAGAAAGGUAUAUUGAGGACUCUCUCACUGCUGGGUUUAUGCGUCCCUCUUCCUCCCCCGGUGGCGCAGGGUUCUUCUUUGUGGAGAAGAAGGACAAGACCCUGCAUCCGUGUAUCGACUACCGGGGUCUCAAUGACAUUAAGGUGGUAAGGGUAGGUAACAACACAUCUGUCACACUGAUCCUCAACACAGGGGCCCCUCAGGGGAGCGUGCUCAGUCCCCUCCUGUACUCCCUGUUCACUCAUGACUGAACGGCCAGACACGACUCCAACACCAUCGUUAAGUUUGCCGAUGACACAACAGUGGUAGGCCAGAUCACAGACAAUGACAAGACAGCCUAUAGGGAGGAGGUCAGAGACCUGACUGUGUGGUGCCAGGAUAACAACAUCUACCUUAACGUGAUCAAGACAAAGGAGGUGAUUGUGAACUACAGGAAAAAGAGAGGGCACGACAAAACCUAUUCCUCCUCAGGAGACUGAAGAGAUUUGGCAUGGAUCCUCAGAUCCUCAAAAGUUCUACAGCUGCACCAUCGAGAGCAUCCUGCCUAGUUGCAUCAUUGCCUGGUAUGGCAACUGCUCGGCCUCAGACUGCAAGGCACUACAGAGGGUCGUGUGUAUGGCCCAGUACAUCACUGGGGCCAAGCUUCCUGCCAUCCAGGACCUCUAUACCAGGCGGUGUCAGAGGGAGGCCCUAAAAAUUGUCAAAGACUCCAGCCACCCUAGUCAUAGACUGUUCUCUCUGCUACCACACGGCAAGCCAAGUCUAGGUCCAAGAGGCUUCUAAACAGCUUCUACCCCCAAGCCAAAAGACUCCUGAAUAUCUAAUCAAAUGGCUACCCAGACUAUUUGCAUUGCCCCCCCUUUUACACCGCUUGCCAUGUGUUAUCAUCUAUGCAUAGUCACUUUAAUAACUCUACCUACAUGUACAUAUUACCUCAAAUACCUCGACAAACCGGUGCCCCCGCACAUUGCCUCUGUACCGGUACCUCCCUGUAUAUAGUCUCACUAUUGUUAUUUUACUGCUGCUCUUUAAUUACUUGUUACUUUAUUUCUUAUUCUUAUUCAUAUUUUUUAACUGGAUUGUUGGUUAGGGGCUCGUAAGUAAGCAUUUCACUGUAAGGUCUACACCUGUUGUAUACGGCGCAUGUGUCUAAUACAAUUUGAUUUGAUCUGAUUUGGAUACGGGAAGGGAAUGAGUGGAAAACUGCUUUUAACACGGCUAGUGGGCACUACGAGAACCUGGUGAUGCCUUUCGGACUGACCAACGUUCCCGCAGUGUUCCAGGCCCUGGUCAUUAUGUGCUCCGAGACAUGUUGAACCGAUUUGUGUUUUUUUCCCCUGUACGACCUCAUCUAUUUCCGGACAGCUCAAGAGCACAUCCUCCAUGUCCGACAGGUCCUCUAGCGUCUCCUGGAGAAGCAGCUGUCCAUGAAGGUCGGAGAAGUGUGAGUUCCAUCGCAUCACCAUCUCGUUCCUAGGAAUCGCUGCAGGGAGUGUUCAGAUGGAACCUGACUAGUUGAGAGCGGUGGUGGUUUGGCCUUAACCCACACCCAGAGUGCAACUGCAGCCUUUCCUGGGGUUUGCCAAUUACUAUCGUUGUUUCAUUUGGGGUUACAGCACCCUUGCUUCCCCCCCUCUCUGCACUCAUCUCCCCCAAGGUGCCGUUCAUAUGGUCUCAAGCAGCUGACCGGGCAUUCUCUGACCUCAAGCAGCGAUUCCCUACAGCCCCCAUCUUAAUCCAUCCGGACCCGUCCCGUCAGUUUGUGGUGGAGGUCGACACCUCGGACGUUUGAGUGGGGGCUGUCCUCUCCCAACGCUCUGCUCAGGAUCAGAAGCUGCAUCCCUGCACCUUCCUUUCCCAUCGCCUUAACCUAGCCGAGAGGAACUACGACGUGGGAAAUCGAGAAUUACUUGCUGUCAAGAUGGCGUUGGAGGAGUGGAGGAACUGGUUAGAACGGGCAGAACAGCCAUUUUUGAUGUGGAUGGACCAUAUGAACCUGGAAUAUCUCCGCAAUGCCAAUUGUCUCAACUCCAGGCAGGCUAACCGAGUGUUCCCAGCUAACCGAGUGUUUGUCCCGGGCCCGUGCUCCUGUUCUGGAAUGGGUACAUUCCUUGAGACUCACCUGUCAUCCUGGCUCCCGUCGGACCAAGGACUGACAACGGUUUUGGUGGCCCACCAUGGUUCCUGAUGUCUCUGCAUUCAUUGCCACCUGUAAUGUGUGUGCCUAGAACAAGACUCUGCGGCAAGCUCCGGCUGGCCUCCUUCAACCACUUCCUGUCCUUUACUGCCCCUGGUCCCAUAUAUCCUUGGACUUCGUCACAGGCCUCUCGCCGGCUGAUGGCAACACCACCAUCCUUCCAUUUUAUUCUCCUUCCAAAGUUGCCCUCAGCUAAGGAGACGGCCCAGCUCAUGGUGCAGCCCGUCUUCCAGAUUCAUGGACUGCUGGUCGACAUGAUCUCAGAUCGCGGUCCCCAGUUCUCGUGCCAGUUCUGGAAGGAGUUCUGCACCCUUAUUGGGUCAUCAGCCAGCCUGUCCUCUGGUUUUCAUACCCAGUCCAACGGCCAGUCGGAGAGAGCCAAUCGGGACCUGGAGACGACUCUUGGCUGCCUCGUCUCCACUAAUCCUACCACCUGUCCCGCAAACUGUCCCCCCUAUUUUAUCAGCCCUUACCCAUCUCCAAGAUCCUUAGCCCCUCUGCUGUUCAUCUUCCUUUGCCCCAUACACUCCGUAUACAUCCCACUUUUCAUGUGUCCAGAAUUAAACCUAUAUCUCACAACCCUAUGUCUCCUGUUUCCUAGUUUUCCCGGUUCUGACUAUUCUGCCUGCCCUGACCCCGAGCCUGCCUGCCAUCCUGUACCUGCCUGACUCUGAUCUAAUUACGAACCUCUGCCUGACCUGACCCCGAGCCUGCCUGCCAUCCUGUACCUGCCUGGCUCUAACCUAAUUACAAACCUCUGCCUGCCCUGACCCCGAGCCUGCCUGCUGUCCUGUACCUGCCUGACUCAGACCUGAUCACGAACCCCUGCUGGUCCUCGACCUGCCCUUUGCCUGCCCCAUGUUUACAAUAAAUAAUCUGAGAACUGUACUAUCUGCCUCCUGUGUCUGCAUAUGGGUCAUAUCCUGAGUUGUGAUAGUAAGGGCUAUUUGACCAAGAAGGAGAGUGAUGUAGUGCUGCAUCAGAUGAGCUGGCCUCCACAAUCACCCGACCUCAACCCAAUUGAGAUUGUUUGGGAUGAGUUGGACCGCAGAGUGAAGGCAGCCAACAAGUGCUCAGCAUACAGUAUGUGAGAACUCCUUCAAGUCUGUUGGAAAAGCAUUCCAGGUGACUACCUCAUGAAGUUGGUUGAGACAAUGCUAAGCUGUCAUCAAGGCAAAGGGUGGCUACUUUGAAGAGUCUAAAAUCUAAAAUAUAUUUUGAUUUGUUUAACACUUUUUUGAUUACUACAUGAUUCCAUAUGUGUUAUUUCAUAGUUUUGAUGUCUUCACUAUUUUUCUACAACAUAGAACAUAGUAAACAUAAAGAAAAACCCUUGAAUGAGUAGGUGUGUCCAAACUUUUGACUUGUGCUGUAUGUAGCAGACGCUCUAAUCCAGAGCAAUUUACUGUACAGUCAUCGUGUGUGUCCCUAAUGGCAUCAUGUUCUCUAUAUACUGCCGUGCACUACAUUUGACAUUACUAUUAUACUCCACCACCAGGCUGAACUGGUACUUGGUCAAAUAGACCUGAAUGCAAAGUUAACAACAUUGUAGACAUACUGUACAUUUGUACAAAAGACUUCUGUGGACAAAAUAGUUUUUAAACAACCGCUGAUACGUACUUGCAGAGCAGUCAAUCACGCUGUGGAAUACAUUAAGAGGAAUUCACAAAAGCUAGAGUGGGAUGAUGAAGAACAUCUCUCUCUCUCUCUCUCUCAUGCUUUUCUCUUGUCAUCUGUGCCAAAUAUCCACAUAGAACUCAGUCUCUGUCUCUCAGAUGCUCGCCACCUCUUUCAUCCUUCGUGAGUGAGUCACACUUACCGUAAUAUACAUAGUAAGCACAGACCCAUAUAUACUGAACAAAAAUAUAAAUGCAACAUGUAAAGUGUUGGUCCCAUGUUUCAUGAGCGGAAAUAAAAGAUCCCAGAAGUAUUCCAUAUGCAAAAAUAUCAUCCCUGUUUGUGAGCAUUUAUCCUUUGCCAAGAUAAUUCAUCCACCUGACAGGCAAAACAAGAAGUUGAUUAAACAGCAUGACACUUACAUAGGUGCACCUUGUGCUGGGGACUAUAAAAGGCCACUCUAAAAUGUGCAGUUGUCACACAACACAAUACCACAGAUGUCUCAAGUUUUGAGGGACCGUUCAAUUGUCAUGCUGACUGCAAGAAUGUCCAGAGCUGUUGCCAGAUAAAUUAAUGUUAAUUUCUCUACCAGAAGCCGCCUCCACUGUCGUUCUAGAGAAUUUGGCAGUACAUCCAACUUGCCUCACAAACACAGACCACGUGUAACCACGCCAGCCCAAGACCUCCACAUCCAACUUCUUCAUCUGAGACCAGCCACCCAGGCAGCUGAUGGGACUGAGGAAUAUUUCUAUCUGAAAUAAAGCCCUUUUGUGGAGAAAAACUCAUUCUGAUUGGCUGGGCCUGGCUCCCCAGUGGGUGUGCCUAUGCCCUCCCAGGCCCACCCAUGGCUGUGCCCCUGCCCAGUCAUGUGAAAUCCAUAGAUUAGGAUAUAAGAAAUUAAUUUCAAUUGGUUGAUUUCUGUAACUCAGUAAAAUUAUUGAAAUUGUUGCAUGUUGCAUUUAUAUAUAUUUUUCAGUAUAGAUCAGUCUCAUAUAGGCCAGUGCCGCAGUCAAAAGUCCAUCCUAAAUAUUAGCCAUUAGUACCAAAUGUCCAUGUAAACACCAACUGCAGCCUCUCUUGUCCUUGAUGAGUGUGUUAAACACAUUCAUUUGAUGAACAUAGGAUGCAUCCCAAAUGGCACCCUAUUUCCUAGAUAGUGCACUACAAUUGACCAGGGCCAAUACUGCGCCUAAACAUUAGACCCUACGCUCCUAAACAGUAGAUCCUACGCUCCUAUACAGUAGAUCCUACGCUCCUAAACAUUAGACCCUACGCUCCUAAACUGUAGAUCCUACGCUCCUAAACAGUAGACCCUACGCUCCUAAACAGUAGACCCUACGCUCCUAAACAUUAGACCCUACGCUCCUAAACAUUAGACCCUACGCUCCUAAACAUUAGACCCUACGCUCCUAAACAUUAGACCCUACGCUCCUAAACAGUAGACCCUACGCUCCUAAACAGUAGACCCUACGCUCCUAAACAGUAGAUCCUACGCUCCUAAACAGUAGAUCCUACGCUCCUAAACAGUAGAUCCUACGCUCCUAAACAGUAGAUCCUAC